GUACAUCUGAAUCCAUACUUGGCCCUUGGUACUUGCUCUUAAGAAUGUAUUGUAUACUAUUUUAGUAAAUUGGGGAAAUAGCAAAGGGAAAAAGAAACUUUACUGGGGUGGAGUCCAGGCUGUGUCUCUUAAUUUGUGCUACUUGUGAUUUUUGCCCAAAUUACUUUUUCUGAAUAUGAACACAAUACGUCUAAAGCCUAAAAUAACCCAGGAAGCCACCUAGCAUCAAUAAAUUACAUUCUUCCUAGUAUUAGGGUUCUUUAGAGAGACAGAAGAGACAGAACAGAGAGAGAGAGAGAGAGAGAGAGAGAGAGAGAGAGAAAGAGAGAGAGAGUUUGUAGCUUUUCAGCCCAGAAGCCAGUGGUGUCUCAGCCCAGUUCCAAGUAGUGGAGCAGUAGCCUCUGUCUCACCCGAAAGCCUAGUGCACCACUGCUGUGAGUUCCAGAUUCCAAAGGGUGAACCGGAAUUUCUUACACUCGGUGGAAGGAGACGGCUGCCACCACUUCAGAGGGCAGAAAGAACGGAGAUAGAGAAUUCACCUGCCUAUGCAUUCAUGGACUCAUGCCCUUUGCUAAUGGGAGGGGUCCACCCACUUGGGUGAGGGUAGAAUAUUUUUCCCAACUGAAGCCUCUGAUUCAAAUGCCAGUACUCCCAGAAGAAUGCUCACAGACGUGCCCGGAACAGAUAGCAGCUGCCUGCGUAUCUCCUCCUCCAGCCAAGCCGACACGAAAAUGGCCACCACACUUGUCUUCUCGAGAGUUCUGCCCUUCUAACUGUACUGGAUUCCAGUUCACCGCGCGAAGAAAGCAGCAUCUUCUAAGAAAAGAAUGAUUAGUUUAAAAGUUUUCAAAUGGAGCAGAGAAUAAGGAAAAAGCAUUUCACCCACUUCUGGUUAUUUAAGUAGCAGUGAAAUGCUUAAUAAGCUUUACAGGUAUUCUGGAGUCCAAAGCCUGAUUUAUUUGGUGGAAUUUGAGAGCUAAUUCUCGUACAGCUAAUAACCUAAAGUGACAAAUUGCCUCGUAUGGAAGGAGAUGUCCAACGUGUCUAAUAGAAAGGGAGAGGAAAAGACUGAAUGCGCCAUACCUUAAGGAUGCUUGUCUUGCCCAGACACCUCUCCCGAAACUCCAUUAACUGUGAAGCAAGAUAAACAUCUACAUUUUGUUCAAGGCCCACAAGCAGAUUUCCUGUUGGUUUUCAUCUUUCAAAAUACAGGCAGUGUCUGCUUCCUGGAAAACCAAAGAAAAGCAAUUCCAAGAAGAUACAGUAUUUAAGAUUAUACCUUCAUCUACCACAGUGAAUACCUUUCUCUCUUUUAUCAAGAUACACCAUAAAUUCUAGAUUAUUACAAACUUAAGCCUGUAAUGUUUUUAAAGAAGUGUUAGGUGCAGGAGUACAUUGAGUCAUCACAGAAUGAGGAAUGAGAGCCAGCAGCUCCCACCUCAGUCUCAGUCUGCCAUUGUCUAACACCAGAACUACUUUACAACAAAAGCUGACUAGAGAUCAACUCGAUCAUUUGGAAAAUAUUCAUAGUUUAACCUGGGCCUACAAAGUGCACACGUUUUAAGUGCUUCUUAGAAGAGAAAGAUAGUAGUUCAGUAAAGUAGAGAAAUACUUCUUUUUCUUUUUCACUUAGGAGCUUCAAAUGAGGGAAAUCGUGUGCCUGUAACUGUUUGAGAACUACUGCUUUAACAAAAGUCCAAGGGAGUCCUGUCGUGUUUCAUUGUUACGGCAAUAGGACAGUGUCUGCAGAUGUUCUUCUGUUUCUUCUAGGUGUUUAUGAAAGUAGAAAGAGAGUACAGUUAGAACACAUUCAUUUUGCCUUGUUCAUGUUCGUUCAUUUAAUUUAAAAGUAUUGAAUUGUUGGGCUGAGGAUGGAGCUCAGUGGUAGAGCAUUCACCUGCCGUACAGGGCCCUGAAUUCAAUCUUUGGCACUGACAAAAAAAGCUUUUUUUGAGAAUCUGUUCUCAAUUAAUUCAGCUCUAAAAUAUUGUAGUCGUCUUUCACAGGGGGAAGCUUCUUUCCAUUAAGGUAACACUGCUUUAAGCGCAGGCUGCGUCACAGUUACAAAAUGAACAGGUCCCGCCAAACUGAUGAACAAGAUCAUUCAGAAAAUGGAAACCACGCCAUGUAGAGGAGAGGCAGCGGAAGAGGGUGAUCAGAGAGUGACUCCAUCAGCAGCGAUGCCUCCGGGACACCGUGGACAGGGCUCGGUGAGGAGGAGAUGUUUGUGUUGAGACCGGAAGAAGGACGCGGAGCCAUCCUGAGGAGCGAGGCGGGGUGAGGACCUGCCUGGAAGAGGGUGUGCCCGGGUGCUGUGAGUUAAGGACAGAGAAGGAGGCUGGGGUCAGCCUGGUGGGGUCCUCAGGCCCCUCUGAGAAGUUGGGAUGAUUCCAAAGGGCAGUGAGGAGCCCUGCAGGGAUUCUGGCUAAGACAGCACGAUGGCCGAGUACCUCGAGUUGUUAAAUAAUAUCCCAUGAAUCACUGUGCGAACCAUGGAGCGUAAAGCCAUAAGAAAAAAGCAGGACCCGCAUUGCUGAGAAAAUCUGCCUUCGCCAGGCCUCUUGCGGUUGUCAGCUCUGUCACUGAGCCUUAAGAGGGAAAUGGCCUCCCAGGUUACAUUUCCGCUCGCCGUGAGGAUGAGAGGCCCA
ensembl:lincRNA